GGCGAUUUAGCUCAGUUGGUUAGAGCGUGUGCUUAACACUUGGAUCCUCCAGUGGUCGUUUGUUGCGCACAAGGUCGGCGGUUCGACCCCGUCAAACGUCA